rnacentral:rRNA from 1 species
UACGAGAGGCCCAAACGUUAUUCGGAAUUACUGGGCUUAAAGAGUUCGUAGGCGGCAUGACAAGUAGGAUGUGAAAGCCCUCGGCUCAACCGAGGAAUUGCGCUCUAAACUGUCGUGCUUGAGGAACCUAGAGGUGAGCAGAACAGAUGGUGGAGCGGUGAAAUGCGUUGAUAUCAUCUGGAACACCUGUGGCGAAGGCGGCCCCCUGGUUGGAUACUGACGCUGAGACGCGAAAGCGUGGGGAGCAAACAGG